rnacentral:lncRNA from 1 species
AUAGUGCUAUAAUUUCAUCUGCUCUUGAAGAGGAGAACUUCAAGUGGCAGAAAGGAGGUACAAGUUUGUCAUUAAUAGCAUGUACCAGGAGCUGCAACUGAAGUUCUCAAGUCUUCAUGAAGAUGCCUGUGCUUGCUCAGAUCUCACAGUGCCGUGUGAUUCCAGGUCUUCAGUCCCAGAAAGGCACCUUGCCAGGAGCUGCACUGCCACAGCACAGUAAACAUGUUUCAGCUUGCUUUGUUUUAAUAUUAAAACAGUAAACCUGUAAUCGCUGUCUCAUUGGAGGAUUUAUCAUAUCCACCUUUACGACUCCACAGUGAGAGUCUAUAUUUUCUUCCCACUCCUCACUCAACAUUGCAACAAUAUCUGCUGCAGAGGUUGACGUGAAUUUAUUUGCGAGGACAUUAAUGCAUUUCCUGGGCCUCUCAGAGUCACUGCAGCUUUAUG